UACGUAGGGUGCAAGCGUUGUCCGGAAUUAUUGGGCGUAAAGAGCUCGUAGGCGGUGUGUCACGUCGUUCGUGAAAACCUGCAGCUUAACUGUGGGCGUGCGGUCGAUACGGGCAUCACUGGAGUUCGGCAGGGGAGACUGGAAUUCCUGGUGUAGCGGUGAAAUGCGCAGAUAUCAGGAGGAACACCGGUGGCGAAGGCGGGUCUCUGGGCAACAACUGACGCUGAGGAGCGAAAGCGUGGGGAGCGAACAGG
rnacentral:rRNA from 1 species